CCUACGGGAGGCAGCAGUGGGGAAUAUUGCACAAUGGGCGCAAGCCUGAUGCAGCGACGCCGCGUGAGGGAUGACGGCCUUCGGGUUGUAAACCUCUUUCAGUAGGGAAGAAGCGAAAGUGACGGUACCUGCAGAAGAAGCGCCGGCUAACUACGUGCCAGCAGCCGCGGUAAUACGUAGGGCGCAAGCGUUAUCCGGAAUUAUUGGGCGUAAAGAGCUCGUAGGCGGUUUGUCGCGUCUGCCGUGAAAGUCCGGGGCUCAACUCCGGAUCUGCGGUGGGUACGGGCAGACUAGAGUGAUGUAGGGGAGACUGGAAUUCCUGGUGUAGCGGUGAAAUGCGCAGAUAUCAGGAGGAACACCGAUGGCGAAGGCAGGUCUCUGGGCAUUAACUGACGCUGAGGAGCGAAAGCAUGGGGAGCGAACAGGAUUAGAUACCCUGGUAGUCCAUGCCGUAAACGUUGGGCACUAGGUGUGGGGGACAUUCCACGUUUUCCGCGCCGUAGCUAACGCAUUAAGUGCCCCGCCUGGGGAGUACGGCCGCAAGGCUAAACGUCAAAUGAAUUGACGG
rnacentral:rRNA from 1 species